AUUGAACGCUGGCGGCAGGCUUAACACAUGCAAGUCGAGCGGGGUGAUGGUGCUUGCACUGUCACUUAGCGGCGGACGGGUGAGUAAUGCUUAGGAAUCUGCCUAUUAGUGGGGGACAACAUCUCGAAAGGGAUGCUAAUACCGCAUACGUCCUACGGGAGAAAGCAGGGGAUCACUUGUGACCUUGCGCUACUAGAUGAGCCUAAGUCGGAUUAGCUAGUUGGUGGGGUAAAGGCCUACCGAGGCGACGAUCUGUAGCGGGUCUGGGAGGAUGAUCCGCCACACUGGGACUGAGACACGGCCCAGACUCCUACGGGAGGCAGCAGUGGGGAAUAUUGGACAAUGGGGGGAACCCUGAUCCAGCCAUGCCGCGUGUGUGAAGAAGGCCUUAUGGUUGUAAAGCACUUUAAGCGAGGAGGAGGCUCUUUUGGUUAAUACCCAAGAUGAGUGGACGUUACUCGCAGAAUAAGCACCGGCUAACUCUGUGCCAGCAGCCGCCGUAA
rnacentral:rRNA from 1 species